rnacentral:rRNA from 1 species
UGCAAGUCGAGCGGGGUCCAUCCUGAUCGCAAGACAGGGGAAGACCUAGCGGCGAACGGGUGAGUAACACGUGAGCAACCUGCCCCGAAGACCGGGAUAACACCGGGAAACCGGUGCUAAUACCGGAUACCCUCAACGGACCGCAUGAUCCGAUGAGGAAAUGGAUUCCGCUUCGGGAGGGGCUCGCGGCCUAUCAGCUUGUUGGUGGGGUAACGGCCUACCAAGGCUCCGACGGGUAGCUGGUCUGAGAGGACGACCAGCCACACUGGGACUGAGACACGGCCCAGACUCCUACGGGAGGCAGCAGUGGGGAAUCUUGCGCAAUGGGCGAAAGCCUGACGCAGCAACGCCGCGUGGGGGACGAAGGCCUUCGGGUUGUAAACCCCUUUCAGCAGGGACGAACAUGACGGUACCUGCAGAAGAAGCCCCGGCCAACUACGUGCCAGCAGCCGCGGUAAUACGUAGGGGGCGAGCGUUGUCCGGAUUUAUUGGGCGUAAAGAGCUCGUAGGCGGUUUGGCAAGUCGGGUGUGAAAACUCCGGGCUCAACUCGGAGACGCCACUCGAUACUGCUAUGACUCGAGUCCGGUAGGGGAGUGCGGAAUUCCUGGUGUAGCGGUGAAAUGCGCAGAUAUCAGGAGGAACACCGGUGGCGAAGGCGGCACUCUGGGCCGGUACUGACGCUGAGGAGCGAAAGCGUGGGGAGCGAACAGGAUUAGAUACCCUGGUAGUCCACGCCGUAAACGUUGGGCACUAGGUGUGGGGCUCGAUCGACGGGCUCCGUGCCGUAGCUAACGCAUUAAGUGCCCCGCCUGGGAAGUACGGCCGCAAGGCUAAAACUCAAAGGAAUUGACGGGGGCCC